GACGAACGCUGGCGGCAUGCCUAACACAUGCAAGUCGAACGGGCUGUAGCAAUACAGCUAGUGGCGGACGGGUGAGGAAUACAUAGGAAUUUGCCUUUAGGUGGGGGAUAGCCCGGGGAAACUCGGAGUAAUACCGAAUGAUGUCGCAAGACCAAAGCCGGGGAUCGCAAGACCUGGCGCCUUUAGAGAAGCCGAUGUCUGAUUAGCUAGUUGGUAGGGUAAUGGCCUACCAAGGCGACGAUCAGUAACUGGUCUGAGAGGACGAUCAGUCACACCGGAACUGAGACACGGUCCGGACUCCUACGGGAGGCAGCAGUGGGGAAUAUUGGACAAUGGGCGAAAGCCUGAUCCAGCAAUGCCGCGUGUGUGAAGAAGGCCUUCGGGUUGUAAAGCACUUUGAUCUGGGAAGAAAAAGCCUUGGCUAACAUCCAAUGCCUUGACGGUACCAGAGGAACAAGCACCGGCUAACUCUGUGCCAGCCGCCGCAGUAAUAC
rnacentral:rRNA from 1 species